AAAGGAAUUGACGGGGGCCCGCACAAGCAGCGGAGCAUGUGGUUUAAUUCGACGCAACGCGAAGAACCUUACCAGGUCUUGACAUCCAGCAAAAGCUAAUGAAAGUUAGUGUGACUUCGGUCAUGCUGAGACAGGUGGUGCAUGGUUGUCGUCAGCUCGUGUCGUGAGAUGUUGGGUUAAGUCCCGCAACGAGCGCAACCCUUGUCAAUAGUUACUAACAUGUAAGGAUGAGGACUCUAUUGAGACCGCCGGGGACAACUCGGAGGAAGGUGGGGACGACGUCAAAUCAUCAUGCCCCUUAUGACCUGGGCUACACACGUGCUACAAUGGCCGACACAGAGAGGCGCCAACCCGCGAGGGGGAGCAGAUCUCAAAAAAGCGGUCACAGUUCGGAUUGUGGGCUGCAACCCGCCCACAUGAAGUCGGAGUUGCUAGUAAUCGCAGAUCAGCAUGCUGCGGUGAAUACGUUCCCGGGCCUUGCACACACCGCCCGU
rnacentral:rRNA from 1 species